rnacentral:lncRNA from 11 species
GACAGGCGGCAGCUGAGUGUGCUCUGGAGGGCUGUCAGCUGCCACAUGCCUUCCUUGAGCUGUCCUCUCAGCAUAAGGAUGGGGUCACUCACACUGUCCCUAUGACAGGAGGAGGGUGAGACACAUAGUGGCUGAGAACACUCCAGAGGACUCCCAGCGGCUAUGUGCCUUCCUCCCUCAUAUUAUUGGCAUAAGGAUGUGGCAGACCACUGUGUCCUUACACCAAGAGGACAGGGAAAAUGAGGAGAACUUGAGCCAUUGCCCAUAAAGCUACCAGAAAUAUCAUUCCAGAACGUUGGAAGAGCCUUCAUGAAUUGUGGAGGAAGAGUUGCUGGAGACUACUAAGGAAAGGAAGAAUAAUUUGAAAUCAGUUAAAGAUCUUCAGAGUAAUGUCGACUACUCACAUGGAUGAACCAGAAGUGAACCAGCAAAUUCUUCUGGUUUUGAUCUUAGAAGCAGGAAGAAACUGAAGCUGUCUGAUGGUGAAAUUCUUCCCUCUGAGAAGUGAAUUGUAAAGCUUUGAUUGACUUGGCUGGAGACAGAAUUUCCUCAUUGAUUUGAAGAACUGUCAGCCCAGAUGUUUUCAACACUGCUGUUUUUCCUAUAUAAAGGAGCCAUAGGUAUGCGAAAAGGUGAUAGUUAUUUUUUUUUAGUGAAAUCCAAACAG